GUGUAUUAGUCAGGGCUUCCCCUGUGGCUCAGACAGUGAAGAAUCUGCCUACAAUGUGGGAGACCUGGGUUUAAUACCUGGGUUGGGAAGAUCCCCUGGAGAAGGCAAUAUGUGAGGCCCAAAUUACUCUUUCUCUAUCUGUGCCUCUAUCUCCUUAUCCAUUAAAUAACACCGUGAUGGCACCCCACUCCACUACUCUUGCCUGGAAAAUCCCAUGGAUGGAGGAGCCUGGUAGGCUGCCGUCUAUGGGGUCGCACAGAGUUGGACACGACUGAAGCGACUUAGCAGCAGUAGCAGUAGCAGCAGUAAUAAGUGCAUCGUUGUAUAAAAUGUGAAGAGUAAAUAAAAUAAUUCAUAUAAAGCACUCUACACAGAGCUUGGCACAUGGAAGAGUCAUUAAGUAAUACUAUGGCAGAAAGUAUUGAUUGGUCAUUAAUAUCCAUUCUCUCCUUUCUUGCUGACAAACUCUGAGUUGAGUAGCAAUAUUCCUAGAUGAAUGGUCACUUUCCAGCCUCCCUUGAACCAGAGUUAGCCACACAUUGCUGUUCUGGUAAACUGGUGUAGGUGAAUGUCUCCUGGAAGUUUCUGGGUGAGUGGAAUGGUGCCUGAGGAGGUAAGAACAAAAGCACAUUGAGAGGAAGGAGGGAUGACAGACUCAGUUCUAGAGGACCCAAUGGGAUUUGCUCUCAGGGACACCUACAGACUUCCUUACCCAUGUUCAAGUUGGCCCCUGGACUAAGUGACCUGUGGCUGACUUGAAAGAAACUCACCUUUGUAAACACUGUUCCGUGAAUUAUACCUAACUCUAGAAGAAGAAAUCAAACUUAAAAUGGAAGGUGGGUGAAGAGGAAGAGGCCCCAGGGGAAGGAUCUGAAUUCCCUGACCAGUGAUUGAAACUGUGCUCCCUGCAGUGGAAGUGUGGAGUCUUAACUACCGGACCAUCAGGGACUUACCUGGUAGUUGUAUUUUUAAUUUUAGGG
ensembl:lncRNA